rnacentral:rRNA from 1 species
UACGGAGGGGACUAGCGUUGUUCGGAAUUACUGGGCGUAAAGCGCACGUAGGCGGAUUUGUAAGUCAGGGGUGAAAUCCCGGGGCUCAACCUCGGAACUGCCUUUGAUACUGCAAAUCUCGAGUCCGGAAGAGGUGAGUGGAAUUCCUAGUGUAGAGGUGAAAAUUCGUAGAUAUUAGGAAGAACACCAGUGGCGAAGGCGGCUCACUGGUCCGGUACUGACGCUGAGGUGCGAAAGCGUGGGGAGCAAACAGGAUUAAGAAA